rnacentral:rRNA from 1 species
GAUGAGCGCUGGCGGCGUGCUUAACACAUGCAAGUCGAACGGAAAUUUUCGGAUUCUAGUGGCGGACGGGUGAGUAACACGUGAGGAUCUGCCCAUAGGACGGGGACAACAUUGGGAAACUGAUGCUAAUACCGGAUGAGCCGAGAGGUAAAACAUUUAUGGCCUAUGGAGGAGCUCGCGACUGAUUAGCUAGUUGGUGGGGUAAGGGCCUACCAAGGCGACGAUCAGUAGCUGGUCUGAGAGGAUGAUCAGCCACACUGGGACUGAGACACGGCCCAGACUCCUACGGGAGGCAGCAGUGGGGAAUUUUCCGCAAUGGGGGGAACCCUGACGGAGCAACGCCGCGUGAGGGAAGAAUGGUUGUGGCCAGUAAACCUCUUUUAAUAGGGAAGAAUAUUGACGGUACCUGUUGAAUAAGCGUCGGCUAACUCCGUGCCAGCAGCCGCGGUAAU